UAGACUGUAGCUAAAUACUAAAGCAUCUCACUUACACCGAGAAGACGCCCGUGAAAAUCGAGCCAUUCUAA
rnacentral:tRNA from 1 species